rnacentral:lncRNA from 1 species
AAGAAAUACCAAACUACCAAAAGAACCAGACCAAAGAACAAACCCCUUAUGAAUACAGGGGUGUAAUUAUCAAAUUGUCCAAUUUGUAAAUGAGAAAACAAAGAUCACAUUUUUCAAGCCAACUAUAGACAGUAACAGGCGAUUCUAUUUUAUUGCAUUUGUUUAAACAUAAUUCUCGUCCUACAUUUCUUCCUUCUAAGGGAGAAGAUUGCCAAAAGAGAAAACCUGAAAAGGAAGGUAGAACAAAAAGGAACAAAUCAAAUGUCAUUUUCACCUUUUUCUCAUCUCAUAUCUAGUUUCAACAAUAUUUACAUAUAAAACCUACAGUUACCUAUUAUGAUAAUCUCCUCCAAGGAAAAUAGUUAAGUAGAGAAUGUAAGAACCUGUAUAUAAUCCGCUGCCUCCACAAUCNNNNN